rnacentral:rRNA from 1 species
CCUACGGGUGGCAGCAGUGAGGAAUAUUGGUCAAUGGGCGCAAGCCUGAACCAGCCAAGCCGCGUGAAGGACGACUGCGCUACGCGUUGUAAACUUCUUUUGUCAAGGAAUAAAAUCAGGCACGAGUGCCUUUCUGAGUGUACUUUAUGAAUAAGGAUCGGCUAAAUCCGUGCCAGCAGCCGCGGUAAUACGGAGGAUCCGAGCGUUAUCCGGAUUUAUUGGGUUUAAAGGGAGCGUAGAUGGGUUGUUAAGUCAGUUGUGAAAGGUUGGGGCUCAACCGUAAGAUUGCAAUUGAGACUGGCAGUCUUGAGUACAGGUGAGGUAGGCGGAAUGCGUGGUGUAGCGGUGAAAUGCUUAGAUAUCGCGAAGAACUCCGAUUGCGAAGGCAGCAUACUAAAC